AUCCAGCUGACGAGCCCCAAAUUGGACGAAAUGCGCGUCCUGGAU
rnacentral:hammerhead_ribozyme from 1 species